CGAUGAUCCACAGAUUCUUUCCUACACGAAUCAUGGAGGCACCGGUGGGACUGAUCGUGGAGGUUCAAGGCCUUGUUGGAGGGAAGGAUGGUUUGCGUAUAACUUCGAGUUUCUAGUUACUUCACAUAUACACCUCUCUGCCUAUUGUUUUUUUAAUUAACUAAUGGCUAUUGUUUCUUGACCUUUGUGUUUGUUUUCCAGAUAGCACUUCACUUCGCAGAUGUAAGAUAUGUCUUGCAAACGAGUUUGUUCUUCUAUCUUAUCCUCUCAUGCAAAACGCUCGAGAAAUUCAGUGAUGUUGGCAUGUAUGUUUUAAGCCUUAGACCCUAUAUUUUAGUGGAGGAGGAUGCUUUGAUCGGCUGGUGAUGGUUUUGGUGGAUCGUUUUUGUCUUCUCUGCGCUACAUCUUCAGGUUUUGGAUGAUGCAUUUAUCGAUAAGAGUGAUGGUUUUGAUGUACACUCUUCUUCUCUGUGCUAUUUCUUCAAAGGGUCGUUUGGAAGCAAACCAUGAUCCAAUCAUCACGUUUUCUAAUCCAUGUUAUUGUCUUCAAGCGUUCUCAUGGGUUCCUUGCUCUAAACUCAUCUCUAUUUACUUCUUUAUUGUCACUUUGGUUCGAUGGUUUUGUCUUAUCUUCUAGUUACAUAAUGUCGUUUUUGUUUUGUUGAUCAUGCGAUUGAUCGGAGAUGGCUCUGACUGAUCGUUGUCACUCUCUUACUCAUGUUGCUCUUUUAGGGAUAGUGGAGGAGGAUGCUUUGAUCAGUUGGUGUUAGUUUUGAUGGCUUGUUCUUGUCCUCUCUGCGCUACAUCUUCAGAUUGUGGAAACACUAGUAUUACUGUGUGAGAGGUUCUAAGAGAAAAAGAAGAAAAAAUAUUGCUGUGGGAGUGCAUAAGAUUUCUGAGUUUAACUUUAUGGCUACCUUACAUCUAGAAACUGAUUCAUAUGGCUUUGCUAGGGUUUGGUUUCUAAAUUGAAUCGUUCAAGGCUCUUUUAUUAUGUUCAUGGGAUUUUUACCUGUUUGUGGCUCUGUUAUUUUAGAUUGUGGAGGAGGAUGCUUGAUCGGUUGGUCAUGUUUUUGAUUUAGUGGAUCGUUUUUGUCUUCUCUGCGCUACAUCUUCAGAUCAUGAGGAACUAGGAUUACUGUGUUGGAGGUUCAAAGAGAAAAAACAAACAUUGUGGGAGCGUUUGAAUUCUGAGUUUAAGUUUCAGGUUGUAGAAUGUCGAGAAUGUGAAGGAGGUACGUAGUUCCAUUUUGUUAACUUUUCAUCUACAGUAUCUCUGUUACCUCGUUGGCGGUUUCUUCUCUUUUACUCUUUCUGAUUUUAUGUCUGCAUUUUUCUAUAGUUUAAAUGCUAAUCACUUCUGUUUGGGAUGGUGUUUCUCUUUCUAUGUGAAUUUGAAUGAUGCAAGUAGAAGUUCUGUUUAGACUUGUUUGCCUAGAUCCCUUUCAAGUCUACAAGUUCUCUCCACAGGGAUGAACUUGGGGAUUCCAUCUUUCUGGGUUUAUUUGUCUAUCUGUAAAUUUCUUCUGAUUGUUAUAUGUUUACUGGGUAUCUUUAGCCUUUGAUUUCCUCACUAGUUGCUGAUCUCAAUUGGUAUGUUUCAUAUUUUUUUUUUCCUGUGUGUGUCUUCCAGCUGGAUUUCUUUCAUCCAUCACUUGACUCUAAUCUUUUGCAGUCUAGUAGUAGUCAGAUGAAAGAUGGCCAUAAGUUCUUUUGUUAUAUGGGUUUGUACUUGUCUUUUUGACCUUCUUAAGAUGAAUAUGUCUACUGACGUAGUUUUUGUAUUGAAUAUUGUGGAGUCUUACGACUGUUCUAGUCUGAGCUCAUCUUAUGCAGAAAGCUAGACAUAAGUCAUGACCGUUGUUAACAACCUGUGAGGUGGCUUUUAUGUUCGGGUGUAGAUUACUUCUUGCACCGAUUAGUCACAAAACGGCCAGUCUGCCACAAUGAAUGUUCACUUUUCUAAAUUGCUUGGGUGGUCUUUUCUUAUUUACUUUUCCGUUUUUCUUGUUGAUUUAGAUUGUGGAGGAUGCUAUGAAUAUUGAUUGGUGAUGGCUUUGAUUGAUUGAUUAUGUCACACGUUUUCUCUUUUACCGGUGUCCUUUUUCCCAAAUUCAAUUCCUAAGCAGAUUGUUUUUGCUGUAUGUUGAUACAAAUCGUGGAGGCAAUGGGAUUUCUAUGUUGAGUUGAAUCUAUCUUCUCGCCUAUCAUCUUUUGGUUUCUUCUGAUUUUCCUGUGCUGCAUCUUUUUUUGUUUUUUUCCCGAAUAACACAACUGCCUGUUAUAUCAACAAUCACCUCUGUUGUAUUCGGUCUCAGUUGAUCUUUGAUCUCUCGGCAUUCCAUGUUACCUCUUUGCCGGUUUCUUAUUUCUCUCUGUUUGUUUAUUAGGGUUUGGUAUAUUACCUUUUGCUUUCUUAUGAUUUUUUGGUGAAAUUUUUGGUUUAGAUCUUAGAGGCUGAAGGCAUUGUAGGAGGGAAGGAUGGCUUGAGUAUAAAUAUCGUGUUUCUGGUUUCUUCGCAUCUGUACACCUUUUUGCUAUUGGUUGAUAUAUUUAAUUUUGGUUAUUGUUGGUUAGGUUUUAUCAGUCUUCUGUGUCUUAUAGUGUUCUCCAGAUUUUCAUCUAUCCCUCCUCUCUGUUUUUCAGCUCUCUACACACGUUCAUAUGAAAGGUGAUCUUAAAUUCCCUUCAAAACGAGUUUGUUCUUAUACUUUGUCCUUUGUCAGUAGUUUUGUAUUGAAUGUUUAUAUGUCAGUAGUUUUGUAUUGACUGCUUAGGGCUAGACCUGUGUGGUUUAAGAUCACCUUUCAUUUGAAUGUCAGGUUACUAACUGGUUUCUUUCCCCUUUAUAUCUGGUUGUCCUAGCUCUCAUCAUGCUACAGCUAUGUUUAGUGUGUUUGAUCAUACUCUCAUAUGCUUGUGACGUGGUUUUUUCUUAUGUGAAAUGCUCCCGUUCUUUAUAGGUAUACUGAGGAUGCAUAGGAGGCUAGUUUUAUUCUGUAUCAUGACCGCUGUUAACAACCAGUGAGGUGGCUUUUCCAUGUUUGUUUUUUUUCUCUUACACUCGCAUAUAAUGGAGUUUUUCAUCUUUGGUUGAUUCAGGUUUCAUGAGCUGCUUUUUCCUGGGGUUUGAUUCUUGGUAUUUUUGUUUGCUGUGUGGUUGUUACCCAUAUUGGUUCUUUUUGUGCAUUACGUCUGAUUGUUAUAGUUUACUUGUAUUUAAGAGAAGUAAAUAUCUGAGUUCGUCGUCACUGGUUGCCUCAAGGAUUGAUCACAAUUUGUAAGUCUUUAUCGUAGUAGAUAUUUCAGGUUGCUGGUUGGUUUGUUAA